GAUGUUCAACGCAGGCUAACGGAGCCGGGAGCUUGCUCCUGGUGGCUAGUGGCGAACGGGUGAGUCAAUGCGUCGGAACGUGCCGAGUAAUGGGGGAUAACGCAGCGAAAGUUGUGCUAAUACCGCAUACGCCCUGAGGGGGAAAGUGGGGGAUCGCAAGACCUCACGUUAUUCGAGCGGCCGACGUCUGAUUAGCUAGUUGGUGGGGUAAAGGCCUACCAAGGCGACGAUCAGUAGCGGGUCUGAGAGGAUGAUCCGCCACACUGGGACUGAGACACGGCCCAGACUCCUACGGGAGGCAGCAGUGGGGAAUUUUGGACAAUGGGGGCAACCCUGAUCCAGCCAUUCCGCGUGAGUGAAGAAGGCCUUCGGGUUGUAAAGCUCUUUCAGCUGGAGUGAAACGGUGCGCUCUAACAUAGCGCGCUAAUGACGGUACCAGCAGAAGAAGCACCGGCUAACUACGUGCCAGCAGCCGCGGUAAUACGUAGGGUUCGAGCGUUAAUCGGAAUACUUGGGCGUAAAGCGUGCGCAGCCGGAUUGUUAAGCAAGAUGUGAAAUCCCCGGGCUUAACCUGGGAAUGGCAUUUUGAACUGGCAGUCUAGAGUGCGUCAGAGGGGGGUGGAAUUCCACGUGUAGCAGUGAAAUGCGUAGAGAUGUGGAGGAACACCGAUGGCGAAGGCAGCCCCCUGGGAUGACACUGACGCUCAUGUACGAAAGCGUGGGUAGCAAACAGGAUUAGAUACCUGUAGUCCACCCUAUACGAUGUCAACUGGUGUUGGGGGAGUGAAAUCCCUUAGUAACGAAGCUAACGCGUGAAGUUGACCGCUGGGAGUACGUCGCAAGAUAAAAUCAAAGAAUGACGGGACCCGCACAAGCGUGGAGAGUGGAUAAUUGAUCAACCGAAAACCGACUACCUGACAGUCAGAACCAAGAAAUUGGGGCUAAAGGGUGACACACGCUCUGACCCG
rnacentral:rRNA from 1 species